UUCGUGUCUUUUUCUUCGUGACAGACCGGGGUGAUGUCGGGAAAGGACAUUUUCCUAUUGUUAAAGGACCGGGGUGUUGGAUGGAAAGGACAUUUUCCUGUCAUUAAAGGAUAAAGGGUCCGUUUAGCCCUGACCAUUAUCCGUUUCGAAUUCACCAACGCAAAGACGCUUGCCCGCUCCAUCAAAACUCCGUAAGUUUUCCCUCAAUGUGUAGAUCAACCAUCCUGCAUGUAAAUCCUGAGUAUGCCCACAUCAUUAAUUAAUAAGAUGUGUAGAAAACUGUUUAGCCAUAGUUAAAGGCCUUUCAUAGAGGCUGUCAUAAUUGCCUGUGCCACAUGUUUAACACGUAUUGCUUGUUACCGAAUACUACUGUUGUACAUUUAAUAUCCACUAGCAGAUUUCGUCGCAUUUGAACAAAUUCUGUCAUGUUACUGUGGUCUUUUUAAAUGUCUAUAAAUAUGUGUGUAAAGUGUACAUGUUUGUUUCACUGUAGAUUUGUUUAAGCCCUCCUAGAAAAACCUAAUUUCAUCAUCCGACAGCAUUAAUUAAUAAGCUGUGUAGAAGCUGUUUAGCCAUAAGUAAAGGCCUUUCAUAAAAAUGCUGUCAUGAUAAACCUGAAUCCGUAAGUUUUCCCUUCAUGUGUAGAUCAACCGUCCUGCAUGUAAAUCCUGGGUAUGCCCACAUCGUUAAUUAAUAAGAUGUGUAGACAACUGUUUAGCCGUAAGUAAAGGCCUUUCAUAAAGAGGCUGUCAUGAUUGCAUGUGCCACAUGUUUAACACGUAUUGCUUGUUACAGAAUACUACUGUUGUACAUUUAAUAUCCACUAGCAGAUUUCAUUGCAUUUGCACAAAUUCUAUCAAAUUCUGGUCUUUUUAAAAGUCAAUAAAUAUGUGU